rnacentral:rRNA from 1 species
AGGCAGCAGUUAGGAAUAUUGGUCAAUGGGCGCAAGCCUGAACCAGCCAUGCCGCGUGGAGGAUGAAGGUCCUCUGGAUUGUAAACUUCUUUUAUUUGGGACGAAAACGGGAUAUUCUUAUCUUCUUGACGGUACCAGAUGAAUAAGCACCGGCUAACUCCGUGCCAGCAGCCGCGGUAAUACGGAGGGUGCAAGCGUUAUCCGGAUUCACUGGGUUUAAAGGGUGCGUAGGCGGGCAUGUAAGUCAGUGGUGAAAUCUUUGGGCUUAACCCGAAAACUGCCAUUGAUACUAUAUGUCUUGAAUAUUGUGGAGGUUAGCGGAAUAUGUCAUGUAGCGGUGAAAUGCUUAGAUAUGACAUAGAACACCAAUUGCGAAGGCAGCUGGCUACACAUAUAUUGACGCUGAGGCACGAAAGCGUGGGGAUCAAACAGGAUUAGAUACCCUAGUAGUCC